rnacentral:rRNA from 2 species
UCCGGUGGCAAUAGAGGAAGGGUCACACCUGUUCCCAUUCCGAACACAGUAGUAAAGCCUUCCAUCGCCGAUAGUACUGGGCUGGAGACGGCCCGGGAGGGUAGGUAGCUGCCGGAU